UGGCGGACGGGUGAGUAAUGUCUGGGAAACUGCCUGAUGGAGGGGGAUAACUACUGGAAACGGUAGCUAAUACCGCAUAACGUCGCAAGACCAAAGAGGGGGACCUUCGGGCCUCUUGCCAUCGGAUGUGCCCAGAUGGGAUUAGCUAGUAGGUGGGGUAACGGCUCUCCUAGGCGACGAUCCCUAGCUGGUCUGAGAGGAUGACCAGCCACACUGGAACUGAGACACGGUCCAGACUCCUACGGGAGGCAGCAUG
rnacentral:rRNA from 1 species